UACGAAGGGGGCUAGCGUUGCUCGGAAUCACUGGGCGUAAAGCGCACGUAGGCGGCUUUCUAAGUCAGGGGUGAAAUCCUGGAGCUCAACUCCAGAACUGCCUUCGAUACUGAAGAUCUCGAGACCGGAAGAGGUAAGUGGAACUGCGAGUGUAGAGGUGAAAUUCGUAGAUAUUCGCAAGAACACCAGUGGCGAAGGCGGCUUACUGGUCCGGUUCUGACGCUGAGGCGCGAAAGCGUGGGGAGCAAACAGG
rnacentral:rRNA from 1 species